UUCCUUGGUACUGCCGAUGUCUGCGGCGAC
rnacentral:sRNA from 1 species